rnacentral:siRNA from 1 species
GACUAUGCACCAGUUCAUGAGCCA